AACACUUGGAAACAGGUGCUAAUACCGUAUAACAACUGAAACCGCAUGGUUUCAGUUUGAAAGAUGGUUUCGGCUAUCACUUCUGGAUGGACCCGCGGCGUAUUAGCUAGUUGGUGGAGUAAUGGUUCACCAAGGCAAUGAUACGUAGCCGACCUGAGAGGGUAAUCGGCCACAUUGGGACUGAGACACGGCCCAAACUCCUACGGGAGGCAGCAGUAGGGAAUCUUCCACAAUGGACGAAAGUCUGAUGGAGCAACGCCGCGUGAGUGAAGAAGGGUUUCGGCUCGUAAAACUCUGUUGUUGAAGAAGAACACAUCUGAGAGUAACUGUUCAGGUGUUGACGGUAUUUAACCAGAAAGCCACGGCUAACUACGUGCCAGCAGCCGCGGUAAUACGUAGGUGGCAAGCGUUGUCCGGAUUUAUUGGGCGUAAAGCGAGCGCAGGCGGUUUCUUAAGUCUGAUGUGAAAGCCUUCGGCUUAACCGGAGAAGUGCAUCGGAAACUGGGAGACUUGAGUGCAGAAGAGGACAGUGGAACUCCAUGUGUAGCGGUGAAAUGCGUAGAUAUAUGGAAGAACACCAGUGGCGAAGGCGGCUGUCUGGUCUGUAACUGACGCUGACGCUCGAAAGCAUGGG
rnacentral:rRNA from 1 species